GACGAACGCUGGCGGCGUGCCUAACACAUGCAAGUCGAGCGGGGACUUGGGAGCUUGCUUCCGAGUUCUAGCGGCGGACGGGUGAGUAACGCGUGAGCAACCUGCCUCAAACAGGGGGAUAACGCAUCGAAAGAUGUGCUAAUACCGCGUAAGACCACAGUGCCACAUGGCACAGGGGUCAAAGGAGCAAUCCGGUUUGAGAUGGGCUCGCGUCCGAUUAGCUAGUUGGUGAGAUAACGGCCCACCAAGGCGACGAUCGGUAGCCGACCUGAGAGGGUGAUCGGCCACAUUGGAACUGAGAAACGGUCCAG
rnacentral:rRNA from 1 species